ensembl:misc_RNA 7SK 7SK RNA
GGAUGUGAAGGUGAUCUGGCUGUGACAUCUGUCACCCCAUUGAUCGCCAGGGUUGAUUCGGCUGAUCUGGCUGGCUAGGUGGGUAUCCCCUUCCUCCCUCACCGCUCCAUGUGUGUCCCUCCUGAAGCUGUGCGCUUGAUCAAAGAGGACAACCAUCCCUGAUAGAGGAGGACCGGUCUUCGGUCAAGGGUAUACGAGUAGCUGCGCUCCCCUGCUAGAACCUCCAAACAAGCUCUCAAGGUCCAUUCUGCAGCUGCCAGCAUCUGAAGCCUUGCUCCUGAAGACUCUACAAAACACACUGCCCACAUGGGCUGGGAAUGUG